rnacentral:rRNA from 1 species
CCUACGUGAGGCAGCAGUGGGGGAUAUUGGGCAAUUGGCGCAAGCCUGACCCAGCACCGCCGCGUGAAGGAAGAAGGCUUUCGGGUUGUAAACUUCUUUUCUCAGGGACGAAGCAAGUGACGGUACCUGAGGAAUAAGCCACGGCUCACUACGUGCCAGCAGCCGCGGUAAUACGUAGGUGGCAAGCGUUAUCCGGAUUUACUGGGUGUAAAGGGCGUGUAGGCGGGACUGCAAGUCAGAUGUGAAAACCACGGGCUCAACCUGUGGCCUGCAUUUGAAACUGUAGUUCUUGAGUACUGGAGAGGCAGACGGAAUUCCUAGUGUAGCGGUGAAAUGCGUAGAUAUUAGGAGGAACACCAGUGGCGAAGGCGGUCUGCUGGACAGCAACUGACGCUGAGGCGCGAAAGCGUGGGGAGCAAACAGGAUUAGAUACCCGUGUAGUC